AGUACGGCGGAACACGUGAAAUUCCGUCGGAAUCCGGGAGGACCAUCUCCCAAGGCUAAAUACUCCCUAGUGACCGAUAGUGAACCAGUACCGUGAGGGAAAGGUGAAAAGCACCCCGGAAGGGGAGUGAAACAGUUCCUGAAACCGUGUGCCUACAAGUAGUUAGAGCCCGUUAAUGGGUGAUAGCGUGCCUUUUGUAGAAUGAACCGGCGAGUUACGAUUUGUUGCAAGGUUAAGCGGAAAAAGCGGAGCCGUAGCGAAAGCGAGUCUGAAUAGGGCGCAUAAGUAACAGGUCGUAGACCCGAAACCAGGUGAUCUACCCAUGUCCAGGAUGAAGGUAAGGUAAUACUUACUGGAGGUCCGAACCCACGCACGUUGAAAAGUGCGGGGAUGAGGUGUGGGUAGCGGAGAAAUUCCAAUCGAACUUGGAGAUAGCUGGUUCUCUCCGAAAUAGCUUUAGGGCUAGCCUCGAGGUAAAGAGUCAUGGAGGUAGAGCACUGUUUGGACUAGGGGCCCUUCUCGGGUUACCGAAUUCAGAUAAACUCCGAAUGCCAUGUACUUAUACUCGGGAGUCAGACUGCGAGUGAUAAGAUCCGUAGUCGAAAGGGAAACAGCCCAGACCACCAGUUAAGGUCCCCAAAUAUAUGUUAAGUGGAAAAGGAUGUGGGGUUGCUUAGACAACCAGGAUGUUGGCUUAGAAGCAGCCACCAUUGAAAGAGUGCGUAAUAGCUCACUGGUCGAGUGACCCCGCGCCGAAAAUGUACCGGGGCUAAACAUAUUACCGAAACUGUGGAUGAACCUCUUUAGAGGUUCGUGGUAGGAGAGCGUUCUAAGGGCGGUGAAGUCAGACCGGAAGGACUGGUGGAGCGCUUAGAAGUGAGAAUGCCGGUAUGAGUAGCGAAAGAAGGGUGAGAAUCCCUUCCACCGAAUAUCUAAGGUUUCCUGAGGAAGGCUCGUCCGCUCAGGGUUAGUCGGGACCU
rnacentral:rRNA from 1 species